rnacentral:rRNA from 1 species
UACGUAGGGUGCAAGCGUUGUCCGGAAUUAUUGGGCGUAAAGAGCUCGUAGGCGGUCUGUCGCGUCUGCUGUGAAAACUCAGGGCUUAACCCUGAGCUUGCAGUGGGUACGGGCAGACUAGAGUGCGGUAGGGGAGACUGGAAUUCCGUGGUGAUAGCGGUGAAAUGCGCAGAUAUCAGGAGGAACACCGGUGGCGAAGGCGGGUCUCUGGGCCGAUAACUGACGCUGGAGGAGCGGAAAGCGUGGGGAGCAAACAGG